rnacentral:rRNA from 1 species
UACGUAGGGAGCGAGCGUUAUCCGGAUUUAUUGGGUGUAAAGGGUGCGUAGGCGGUUUAGCAGGUCUAUGGUUUAAGUCCGAAGCUUAACUUCGGUUCGCCAUAGAAACCGUUUUACUUGAGUAUGGUAGAGGCAAGUGGAAUUUCUAGUGUAGCGGUUAAAUGCGUAGAUAUUAGAAGGAACACCGGUGGCGAAGGCGACUUGCUGGGCCAUUACUGACGCUGAGGCACGAAAGCGUGGGGAGCAAA